CUAAUACAUGCAAGUCGAGCGAUGAGGCUCCUUCGGGAGUACAUCAGCGGCGAACGGGUGAGUAACACGUGGGUGACUUGCCCCGAAGAUGGGGAUAACCUCUGGAAACGGGGGCUAAUACCCAAUGUGCUCGGUGAUUCGGUUCAUCGAGUAAAGCUCCGGCGCUUCGGGAGAGGCCUGCGGCCCAUCAGCUAGUUGGUAGGGUAACGGCCUACCAAGGCAGAGACGGGUAGGGGGCGUGAGAGCGCGGACCCCCACACUGGCACUGAGAUACGGGCCAGACUCCUACGGGAGGCAGCAGUAAGGGAUAUUGCGCAAUGGACGAAAGUCAGACGCAGCGACGCCGCGUGGGCGAUGAAGGCCUUCGGGCUGUAAAGCCCUUUUAUGGGGGAAGAGAAAAAGGACGGUACCCCAGGAAUAAGUCCCGGCUAACUACGUGCCAGCAGCCGCGGUAAAACGUAGGGGACAAGCGUUAUCCGGAUUCACUGGGCGUAAAGAGCGUUGAGGCGGUUCCGUAAGUCGGGCGUGAAAGCUCCGGGCUUAACUCGGAGAUGUCGUUCAAUACUGCGGGGCUUGAGGACAGCAGAGGAAGGUGGAAUUCCCGGUGUAGUGGUGAAAUGCGUAGAUAUCGGGAGGAACACCCGUGGCGAAGGCGGCCUUCUGGGCUGUUCCUGACGCUGAAGGCGAAAGCUAGGGGAGCGAACGGGAUUAGAUACCCCGGUAGUCCUAGCUGUAAACGAUGGAUGCUGGGUGUGGGGGGUGUAAAUUCCCUCUGUGCCGAAGCAAACGCGUUAAGCAUCCCGCCUGGGGACUACGGCCGCAAGGCUAAAACUCAAACGAAUUGACGGGGGCCCGCACAAGCAGCGGAGCGUGUGGUUUACUUCGAUGCUACACGAAGAACCUUACCUGGGUUUGACAUGCACGUGGUACGGAAACCGAAGGGGACCGAACCUUCGGGAGCGUGCCCGCGUGCUGCAUGGCUGUCGUCAGCUCGUGCCGUGAGGUGUCGGGUUAAGUCCCGUAACGAGCGCAACCAUUGCCCUUAGUUACAAGUGUCUAAGGGGACUGCCCGGGACAACUGGGAGGAAGGUGGGGAUGACGUCAAGUCAGCAUGGCCUUUAUAUCCA
rnacentral:rRNA from 1 species